CCUACGGGAGGCAGCAGUGGGGAAUAUUGGACAAUGGGGGGAACCCUGAUCCAGCCAUGCCGCGUGUGUGAAGAAGGCCCUCGGGUUGGAAAGCACUUUCAGUGAGGAAGAACGCCUGGUGGUUAAUACCCAUCAGGAAAGACAUCACUCACAGAAGAAGCACCGGCUAACUCCGUGCCAGCAGCCGCGGUAAUACGGAGGGUGCGAGCGUUAAUCGGAUUUACUGGGCGUAAAGCGCGCGUAGGUGGCUUGAUAAGCCGGUUGUGAAAGCCCCGGGCUCAACCUGGGAACGGCAUCCGGAACUGUCAAGCUAGAGUGCAGGAGAGGAAGGUAGAAUUCCCGGUGUAGCGGUGACAUGCGUAGAGAUCGGGAGGAAUACCAGUGGCGAAGGCGGCCUUCUGGACUGAAACUGACACUGAGGUGCGAAAGCGUGGGUAGCAAACAGGAUUAGAUACCCCGGUAGUC
rnacentral:rRNA from 1 species